rnacentral:rRNA from 1 species
GAGUUUGAUCAUGGCUCAGAUUGAACGCUGGCGGCAUGCCUUACACAUGCAAGUCGAACGGCAGCACGGGAGCUUGCUCCUGGUGGCGAGUGGCGAACGGGUGAGUAAUGCAUCGGAACGUAUCCUGGAGUGGGGGAUAACGUAGCGAAAGUUACGUUAAUACCGCAUAUUCUGUGAGCAGGAAAGCGGGGGACCUUCGGGCCUCGCGCUCUUGGAGCGGCCGAUGUCGGAUUAGCUAGUUGGUGAGGUAAAGGCUCACCAAGGCGACGAUCCGUAGCAGGUCUGAGAGGAUGAUCUGCCACACUGGAACUGAGACACGGUCCAGACUCCUACGGGAGGCAGCAGUGGGAAUUUUGGACAAUGGGGGCAACCCUGAUCCAGCCAUGCCGCGUGAGUGAAGAA